rnacentral:rRNA from 1 species
GAUGAGUUGCGAACGGGUGAGUAACGCGUAGGUAACCUGCCUUGUAGCGGGGGAUAACUAUUGGAAACGAUAGCUAAUACCGCAUAACAAUGGAUGACACAUGUCAUUUAUUUGAAAGGGGCAAUUGCUCCACUACAAGAUGGACCUGCGUUGUAUUAGCUAGUAGGUGAGGUAAUGGCUCACCUAGGCGACGAUACAUAGCCGACCUGAGAGGGUGAUCGGCCACACUGGGACUGAGACACGGCCCAGACUCCUACGGGAGGCAGCAGUAGGGAAUCUUCGGCAAUGGGGGCAACCCUGACCGAGCAACGCCGCGUGAGUGAAGAAGGUUUUCGGAUCGUAAAGCUCUGUUGUAAGUCAAGAACGGGUGUGAGAGUGGAAAGUUCACACUGUGACGGUCGCUUACCAGAAAGGGACGGCUAACUACGUGCCAGCUGCCGCGGUAAUACGUAGGUCCCGAGCGUUG